rnacentral:rRNA from 1 species
GGCCAGGUUGAAAGUAGGGUAACACCUACUGGAGGACCGAACCGGUGCCUGUUGAAAAAGUCUCGGAUGAGCUGUGGAUAGGGGUGAAAGGCCAAUCAAGGCUGGAAAUAGCUGGUUCUCCGCGAAAUCUAUUUAGGUAGAGCCUCGAGUGAAUACCCCAGGGGGUAGAGCACUGGAUGGGCUAGGGGCCCCCACAGGGUUACCAAACCUAACCAAACUCCGAAUACCUGGGAGUACUACUCGGGAGACACACGGCGGGUGCUAACGUCCGUCGUGAAAAGGGAAAAACCCUGACCGACAGCUAAGGUCCUCAAGUCAUGGCUAAGUGGGAAAGGAUGUGGAAAUCCCAAAACAACCAGGAGGUUGGCUUAGAAGCAGCCAUCCUUUAAAGAAAGCGUAACAGCUCACUGGUCUAAAUAAGGGUUUCUGCGCCGAAAAAUGUAAC